rnacentral:rRNA from 1 species
UACGGAGGGAGCUAGCGUUGUUCGGAAUUACUGGGCGUAAAGCGCACGUAGGCGGCGAUUCAAGUCAGAGGUGAAAGCCCGGGGCUCAACCCCGGAACUGCCUUUGAAACUAGAUUGCUAGAAUCCUGGAGAGGUUAGUGGAAUUCCGAGUGUAGAGGUGAAAUUCGUAGAUAUUCGGAAGAACACCAGUGGCGAAGGCGACUAACUGGACAGGUAUUGACGCUGAGGUGCGAAAGCUAGGGGAGCAAACGGG